AUAAUAUAUAAAUAUAUACAUAUUUUAAAUAUAUAUAUUUAACUUUCUAGAUACAGUAUUUAGGUUUGUAAAUCAAAAAGUGUCUGGGAAAUGUCUCAAUCAAUUUAGAAGUUUAUUUUGCCAAGGUUAAGGAAAUGCUCAGAAGAAAAUAACAUGGAGUCGCAGAAACAGUCUGUGGUCUAUGUCAUUCUCCAAAGAUGAUUUUGAAGGCUUCAAUCGUUAAAAGGGAAAAGCGGGCUGGAGAGGAACGAGGAGGGUGUGGUGAUCCAUAUGUUGCAGGAAAAAGGAGCAGAAAUCCAUUGCUUGCAAAUGUUUGUUUGUUUGUUUUUGGAGCUGGUGUCUGACUUCACCACCGGUUGUGAGUUCCUGGAAAGAUCUCAAGACCUAUCCCAUCUCCUCCUAGUGAAGGAUGAUAUUCAUACUAGUUGACACUCAGUACAGCGCAGACACCGACCACUUCAAGCUGACAGAGGUCUUAAGCAAGUUGCAUGGCAGUCUUGGUGUACAGAACUGAAUAUUUGUUCUACACAUAGAAGGCAUCCAAAAGCAAUUUUGAAUUGAAUGUUACUGGUUUAGUAGACCUGGCUGUGGUAUCUCAUGGCCUUCUUUCAGAAGUCGGGCAGCUUUUUAUUUUUUUGUCAAAAUAUGAUCAUAAUGACUUUUUUCCUCCUUGAUUUAGAUUCUACAGGAGUCUGUGAGUAAUUUCGAAGAACUUUGCAAAAAACAGGACACUCUGUACCUGCAAUGCCCAGUAUAUAGCCUCUAGCCACAUGUAUAAGGUUGUUAGGUAAAAUAUGGCAUGCUCAGUUAAAUUUGAAUUUCAGAUAAAAAAGGAUAAUUUUAGAGUAUAAGUGUGUUCCAUGCAAGAUUUGGAGUGUACUUCAGCUACAGAAUUGUGUGUUGCUGAUCAAUAAGUGAUAAUUAACUAAGCAUCCUGUACUUUAUUUGUUAAAUCUAAUAACCCUACUCAUGAGUAUCUGAAUUUAACUUAAUUAAAAUUUAAUUUAAAAUUCAGUUCCUCAGUCUACGAGUCACAUUUUAAGCGCUCAGUAGCCACAUGCGGCUAACAGUUACCAUCUUGAACAGUACAAAUAUAGAACAUUUCCAUCAUCACAGAACGUUCCAUUGGACAUCACUUUUGCCAAGCAAAAGAUGGCUUGUAAGAAACUAUUUUACAGCUUGUUAAAAAAACUGUGUUUGAGGCUGGGAAACUGCCAGGAAACCCUAGAAGGCCCCUUCUGACAUAGCCAAGCCACAGUCUUCCUGUUCAUCUGUUACUCUUACUGAAUAUGCAAGGUGUUUGACGAAAAGGGAGAAUCUUUGUUCCAGAAAAAAUCCAAGUUGAUAUGAAAGAAGCAGCUUUUGUGGAUCUACGUUUGUGGAGGCAAUUGUUCUACUUUCCUUCUGGACUACCAGAAAAUAAGCUAGCUAUCCAUCCAAAGCAACCAAAAUUUUAAAAGCUCCUAAAUGAAAAACGAGUGUAUAUCACUUACUAGUAUUAUUAUUCAUAGAUUUUCUUAAAGUAAUAAUCAGAGAGCAUCAUCAACUAGAAUAUCUGUUUAAAGCCCAAGUCAUUGAUUAACUUGGUAAACACAGCAGAAGGAUUGCCUCUCUUAAUUAGCCUUUUGGGAGAAACCAUGUUUUGAAUUGCUGCCUAUAGCCCUGGGAAUCUUUUAAGAGCAGGAGCUGAUUAAGAUCUAGAAGAGAUAUAUGCCAAAAGCUGAUUUUUCACAUAUGACUUGGCAAGUCUUAACAGAAUCUGGCUGUCUUACCAAAUGGGGCCAGAUAAAAGUGAAUGAAACCCAUAUCGACAUCAAAGGCAGAAAUCAUAAAGAAAACAACUGAUAGACUUGACCCAAGAUACUCAAAAGUUGUGCACCAAAGUUAUAAAAAGUAGGUCAGCUAGGGGUUCCAGUCCAGCCUGGGCAACAUAGUCUGACUCCACCUCUAAAAAGAAAAAAAUAAGAUAUUAAAAACAAAGUAAAGGCAGAUGACUUAAAUUUGAAAAUACUGUUAUGUAUGUGACAUAGUACACAUACAGUAAAUAGCCACCGCAUGAAUAAACAUCUAUGAAAGAAUGUUUGACUUCAGGACUGAUCUAAGAAUGACAAAUUAAAAUAUAACAACGACAUAUCAUUUUCACCUGUCAGCUUGGCAAUGGUGAAAAACAUUAAUACCCAGUAUUGGUAAUGGUGAGGAGAAAUAUGCCAUAUACACAUUGUUGAUGGGAACGUAAAGCGGUAUAAACUUUUUGAUGGGCAAGUUGACAACAUGUGAAAAAAGCUUGUCCAAAACCUUUGACACAGCGAUUUCAUUUUGAGGUAGUUAUUCCGAGAGAACACUUACAAAUGCCCAAACCUUUGUGUACGAUGGCAAUGUAGAUGAUAUAUGUAUUAGUCUAUUCUCACAUUGCUAUAAAUAAAUAUUUGAGGUUGGAUAAUUUGUAAAGAAAAGAGGUUUAAUUGGAUCAUGGUUCUGCAGUCUGUACAGGAAACAUAGUGGCAUCUGCUUCUGGAGAGGGCUCAGAAAACUUAUAAUCAUGGUGGAAGGUGAAUUCAAAGCAGGCCUGUCUGUAUCUGAGAA
rnacentral:lncRNA from 1 species